CAAUAGCGUAUAUUAAAGUUGUUGCGGUUAAAAGCUCGUAGUUGGAUUUCUGUCGAAGGCGGCCGGUCCGCACUAUGUGCGUGUAUCUGGUUCGGUUUUGGCAUCCUCUUGGGGAACGUUUCUGUGCUUGAUUGCAUGGGGCGGGAUUCAAGACUUUUACUUUGAGGAAAUUAGAGUGUUCACGGCAAGCUAUCGCUUUGAAUACAUUAGCAUGGAAUAAUAAUAUAGGGCGUAAGUUCUAUUUUGUUGGUUUCUAGGACAUACGCAAUGAUUAAUAGGGACAAUUGGGGGCAGUUCGUAUUAACGCAGUCAGAGGUGGAAUUCUUAGGAUUGGCAUGUUAUCGAUCGAACUUACUGCGAAAAGCAUUUGCCAGGAUGAUUUUCAUUUGAUCCAAAGGAACGAAAGUUUAUGGGGAUCA
rnacentral:rRNA from 1 species